GAUGAACGCUAGCGGGAGGCCUAAUACAUGCAAGUCGAACGGUAACAGGUAGCAAUACGCUGACGAGUGGCGCACGGGUGCGUAACGCGUACACAAUCUGCCUUAUACUGGGGCAUAGCCUUUGGAAACGAAGAAUAAUUCCCCAUAACAUAUAGAAGAGGCAUCUCUUUUAUAUUAAAGCUCAGGCGGUAUAAGAUGAGUGUGCGUCCGAUUAGGUAGUUGGUGAGGUAACGGCUCACCAAGCCAACGAUCGGUAGCUGGUCUGAGAGGAUGAUCAGCCACACGGGCACUGAGACACGGGCCCGACUCCUACGGGAGGCAGCAGUAGGGAAUAUUGGACAAUGGGCGCAAGCCUGAUCCAGCCAUCCCGCGUGAAGGAUGAAGGUCCUCUGGAUUGUAAACUGCUUUUAUACAGGAAGAAACACUGGUUCGUGAACCAGCUUGACGGUACUGUAAGAAUAAGGAUCGGCUAACUCCGUGCCAG
rnacentral:rRNA from 1 species